AAUGAACGUUGGCGGCGUGGAUUAGGCAUGCAAGUCGAGCGAGAAACCUCCUUCGGGAGGUGGAAAGCGGCGAAAGGGAGAGUAACGCGUGGAUACCUGCCCUCGGGUUCGGGAUAGCUGCUGGAAACGGCAGGUAAUACCGAAUGAUAUCUCCGGAUCAAAGGUGUGAUUCCGCCCGGGGAUGGGUCCGCGUCCUAUUAGCUAGUUGGUGAGGUAACGGCUCACCAAGGCAACGAUGGGUAGUGGGUGUGAGAGCACGACCCACCUCACUGGGACUGAGACGCUGCCCAGACACCUACGGGUGGCUGCAGUCGAGGAUCUUCGGCAAUGGGCGCAAGCCUGACCGAGCGACGCCGCGUGCGGGAUGAAGGCCUUCGGGUUGUAAACCGCUUUCGGAGGGGAUGAAAUGCGUGGGGGUUCUCCCCCACGUUUGACAUAGCCUCUAAAGAAGUACGGGCUAAGUUCGUGCCAGCAGCCGCAGUAAGAC
rnacentral:rRNA from 1 species